AUGAACGCUAGCGGCAGGCUUAAUACAUGCAAGUCGAGGGGCAGCAGGGAUAGCAAUAUUCGCUGGCGACCGGCGCACGGGUGCGUAACACGUAUACAAUCUGCCUUUACUGGGGGAUAGCCUUUCGAAAGAGAGAUUAAUACCCCAUAAUAGAUUGCUCGGCAUCGAGUGAUUUUGAAAGCUCCGGCGGUAAGAGAUGAGUAUGCGUCUGAUUAGCUAGUAGGUGAGGUAACGGCUCACCAAGCCAACGAUCUGUAGCUGGUCUGAGAGGACGACCAGCCACACUGGAACUGAGACACGGUCCAGACUCCUACGGGAGGCAGCAGUGGGGAAUUUUGGACAAUGGACGCAAGCCUGAUCCAGCCAUUCCGCGUGCAGGAUGAAGGCCUUCGGGUUGUAAACUGCUUUUGUACGGAACGAAAAGGUCCUGGUUAAUACCUGGGGCUCAUGACGGUACCGUAAGAAUAAGCACCGGCUAACUACGUG
rnacentral:rRNA from 1 species